UCCCUCCCCUCCCCCAUACCCCCACCCCAACAGCGACGUCCAGCUUCCGACUCCGCCCCUCAAGCUCUGACGGUUCAGUGGAGGAGGGCCAGGAUAGGCCAGGUCACCUACCCUCCUCACCCUUAACCCCUCCCUCUUACAACCAAUCCGACCAACCGUCUGGCCAACUGAUGCGCCUGCGCUCUGUGACCUUCUGCGCCCCUAGGCGGCGGGAAUAAAGUACCGUCUGGCCCCGACGCCGCCGGUAUCACUUUCUAAGCUGGACUGCUAGAGACUGUGAGGUAACUUUUCGGGAAAAGGAGACCCUGGAGGACGGCUUGUCCAGUCCACGGACGCCAAACUUCUCUUGGGAGUGAAGCUUGAGGAAGAGGCAUGGGUUAGUGGGAAACUGAGCGAGCUUCGUCCUUCCUUUGGCCCUUCGGAGUCGCUACAGCCCUUAACAUCUCCCAUAGGCGAUAGGUCAGGAACAGCUCUGGCACCUGAACUCUUCGGCCUUAGGGUCUGACCUGGGAGCUGAACCCAUGGAGAUGGGGGUGGGGUGUGUGGAAUCCUAGCCCUAGCAUUUCCUCCCAGGACUGUGUGUGAACUCCCUCCACUAUUACAGACCAGCUACUCAUUUUAGCUUGAGAUUCGGAGAGAUUAAAUAGAAGCAGGCCUUCCUGAGAAGACAGAAGAAAUAAGAGUUGGCUACCUCAAGAUAUCUAUUAUGCGUGGUUUGAGCCAUGGACCAGUGCCUCUAAGGAGUUUUUGUACCACAGACUGUACUGUGGCAUGUCCUGUGCCAUAUGAAUUAUAUUAUCACCACUAUCUUAUGUGACUAAGGGACUCCAGACAUCUUUCAAUUCUAUGAAAUACCUGUCUGUGUGGAUGGAUGGAAUUUCCACACUGCUAUUUCCCUGCACCACAAGUCCAGACCAAAAUGAAAAAAAAAAAGAUGAGGAAACCAAGGUCCAAGGAGACCAAAGUCACACAGGUAAUAUGCAACGAUAUAAUCCAGUGGAAAGAACACCUAUUUAAUGGAAUGCCCCCAGAUCUUUGGUUUUGAGAACACCCUUUAUAUUAAGAAGAAUUAGAUUAAAAUUCUUCAUUUUACGCUA